AAUGAACUAUUUGUUUAACGAGUCUGAAUUACGUACUCAGAAUAAUAUCUAUUACAAAAAAGAUAUAUCUGUAUAUUUGCAAACACAUACAUAUAUGUACACAUAAUGUGUGCCCUGUAUGGUAAUAGAUAAAUAAACCAAAGUAUUUCAUACUGACUUGUACAUGCUAAAAACCAACAUAGAAAGUUAUUGAAAAUACAAUAAGAGAUAUUUUCUUCAAUGAAUUAAUGAA